UGUAUGUAUGUGUGUGUGUGUGUGUGUGUGUGUGUGUAUACACACACACACACACACACACACACACACACAUAUC